GAAAUCAUAGGUGCUUUUUUGACAUAAUGUUACUUUUAAAGGAGCCUGUUGCCUUCUAUGAUGAUUGUUGAGCAUUGAUAUGGAUCUUUAUAAAAAAAUAGCGUACAAUCGUUUUUAUUAGCUAUUCUUUUAAACAGUCACAUGAAGUACUUUAGCAUUUAACUCAUAAAAGACUUUAGGCUGCCAUUGCUCCAGUCAAAACAUUCUCUUCAGCUGUUAGAUCAAGUUUCAGUUUUAUUUAGGAGCGUACAAGUGCCCCCACUUCCUCCAUCAGCCUCCUUAAAAAUGGGGAAGUAGGCUGGGCAUGGUGGCUCAGGCCUGUCAUCCCAGCACUUUGGGAGGCUGAGCCUUAGUGGAUCAUGAGGUCAAGAGAUCAAGACCAUCCUGGCCAACAUGGUGAAACCUUGUCUUUACUAAAAAUGAGAAAAUUAGCUGGGCAUGGUGGUGUGAGCCUGUAGUGCCAGCUACUCAGGAGGCUGAGGCAGGAGAAUCACUUGCACUCAGAAGGCAGAGGUUGCAGUGAGCCGAGAUUGCACCACUGCACUCCAGCCUAGCAACAGAGUGAGAUUCUUUCUCAAAGAAAAAAAAAAAAUGGGGAAGUGACAAUGAAGAAAAGAAGCAUCUUGCUGCAAAGUAACCAACAAGCCAUUAACUGAGGACAAUAACAAAGGUAGCACUGUGGAAGAAGAUUUGAGGACCGGAAAAGGGAGAAAAUUUUGCCACAAUUCAAAAAGGACAUCAUGGCCUGGCACAGUGGCUCACACCUAUAAUCCCAGCUCCUCAGGAGGCUGAGACGAGAAGACCACUUAAGCCUGGGAGGUCAAGGCUGCAGUGAGCUAUGAUCAUGUCACUACACACUAGCCCAGGCAACAGAUUGAGACACAGCCUGUUGUGUUUUGUUUUGUUUUAAAAAGGACAGAAAAAAAUCUUGCAAUGGCAGAGAGAAUAAAAUAGAAGAGACAGAAGGGAACUUGCAGAAAUAAAACUGAAUGAACGUAGUAUGAUCAUUGUGCCUUCAGAAGCUUGUCCGUAGUCACAAGGUGAAGUGGAUACAUGUAGUGUUUGUAUGUCUUUCCAUUAUUUGUCUCCCAUCCCAGCGCUAUCACUUUAACCUCCCCAAAAUAGACAUUAAGCAGUGGGGCUUUCAAUUUACCAAAAGAAAGUUUCUCUUAACAUCAUAACAUCAUUUAAUUGUAAUUAGAAUAAAUGCCCCUACCAAGGAAAGUGUUUAGGAAUUAAACUAAGAGUGAUCUGGAUAGGGUGGGACUAUAUUGAUUUUUAGAUUGUAUUUUCCUCCCUGUUUCUCUUAGAUCACACCAUAUGUGUACCCCUAGUUCAGCAUGUUCUUUCAUCAAGUCAAAGACAAAAGAGAAAAAAAGAUGCAACAGUCUCUGGACUCCUCACCACCACAUCCGUUUGCUCUCCUUGGCUCUUGAUAAAUAGAAUGGUGAAGACCCCAAGGGAAAUCCCCUUGUCUGUAGUUUCUGCAUUGCACAACUGCGGGGACACAAUUCACAGAACAAUAUGAUAGGAUACAAUGUAAGAGCUUCUCCUGCACUCUCCCAGUCUUGUUCUUGAGUUUUCACCCUCCCAGGCUUACCCACUAUUUCUGCUCUUCUCCCUCAAAUUUUCAUCUUACAGUCUUUACUGUUUCACAAUGCAAACCCUAGUAAAUCAUAAAAUCACUCACAGGCCAAAUAAAAACAGUAGCUAUUUUUGAUUAAGCAUUGGACAAAGUAUGAUCUGCUUUAGAAGUCCUGCUUCUGGCUGCCUCCCAAUCUUUUGUUUGUAUGUUUCAAUCAAGACAUCUGCUGUCUAGUGUUAUUUCAGAUAAUAAUCUUAAUAUUAAGAAAUGAUUCAGAAUAUCCAGCCAUACCAAAGCAAAAAGGCAGCAUACAAUCUCUUAAGAGAAGACAUAAUUAAGUUAAGGAAAACAGAGAGUUGCCAUUUUUUAAGAGUGAAUAUGCAUGUCCAAAUUACUUCAAUUAGCAUAACCACAUCUUUCCAGAACAGUUGGCUAAUAUCAUGGCCUUCCUCAUUAGGAUUCAACUUCACAAUUGUGAAUAACAACUACAAAGAAAACAAAAACAAAGAAAACUGAAAGAUAAUCCUAUAUUUUAUUGUUAAUCAAGUGUAACCUUCUUUACUUUUUUUCUUCUUUGUCCCUCCCUUCAAUAUUUCAAGACUAGGAAGAUAAAUAACAGCAGGUUUAAUACUAUUGACAGAAGACUUUCUGCUAUGUAAACCUGAUUUUUCUACAAAUGCAUUAUGGCCAUUGGGGACGGUGAGAGCAGGAUUGAAGAUUCAUUAAUAUAUCCCCAUAAGCAAAGAGCAAAUGAAUCUCAGGCUGUUUCUCAGAAUGUUUGGAAUGACUCACUCAACAAGCUGUCUAGAUCCCUUCUGGCUGGAAAUAUCAGAACUAGAAUUGAAUAAUCUCAUAUUAAAAAUGAAGGAAAAAGUACAAAUUUACUCUGUGUUUAUAUUGUAAAUUGGCAUUAUAUUUAAUUGCAAAUGUACUGCAAAUGCUUACUUUAUUUUGAUUAUUAUAUGAUUAAGUAUCGGUUCCGUGUGGAAAUACUUUAUUUUGUUUUUGGACUGAAUUUUGUGGUUAUGAAAGUUAUAGAAGAUUUUGAUAUGAGGUGACAUUUCUAUUGGGUCUUUAUUUCCAAAUGCAAUAGUGGUACAAAAUGGCAGCCUUAGAAAUUGACUUAUGUAUUCUUUCCCCAGCUACUUGCAAUUAAACUAAACUCAG
rnacentral:lncRNA from 10 species